rnacentral:rRNA from 1 species
UUCUUUAAGACUCUCAAUAAUUUAAAGUAAAACCUGCUCCAUGAAACUUAAAUAGCCGCAGAAUUCUGUGCUAAGGUAGCAUAAUCACUAGCUUUUUAAUUAAAAGAUAGAAUGAAUGGUUAAACGAAAUACUCUCUGUUUCUAAAUUUUAUAAUGAAAUUAUAUAAAAAGUAAAAAUUCUUUUAAAAAUUAGAAAGACGAUAAGACCCUAAAAACUAAUAUUAUUUAGCUGGGGCGGCAAUUUAAAAAAACCUUAAUAUUUUUAAAAACAAAUCAAGUAAAAUUAAUUAAGAAAAGUUACUUUAGGGAUAACAGCGCUACUUUUUUUUAAAGAUCUAAUAAAAAAAAAUCCUACGACCUCGAUGUUGAAUUAUAAAUCUAUUUGAAGCAAAAAUCAAAUAAGAAAGUCUGUUCGACUUAAAACUAUAU